GAAAAGGUGUUUCAGGAAAUGUUUAAAAUAGAUAUGGAAGGCUUGGUACUUCUAUUUUUUUUAUCUACUUGAAAUUAUUUGGAAUUGAAUUCCUGUGUAGUUCUAUAUGUGAUGCUGCUCCCACCUAACAUUUAUUUAUCAAAACUAAAAUUUACUGUUGUUUAUUUAUUUAUUUUAAUAUAUUUAUCAUUGAUUUCAAAUAAUUUGGUAUUCUUUUGUUGUUCUACUUUGAUACUGCCCCCUCCAAUAUUAUAUUAUAACUUAAAUUUGCAGUUAUUUUUAUUUAUUAUUAAAUGAUUGAGAAUCCUUAUAUAUUUCAAUACUUUAAAGUGUUUUAAUUAUAUUCAUCACUUAUCUGCAUGGUCAGUUUAGGGUGGAAAACUCUGAACUACUGACCCUUCUUUUUAAGAACUUUUGUCAUAGCAGCACCAAAAAGAUGUUUUGAAUGAAUAUACAUAUUUGGUUAGAUCAGUUCUAAAAUUAAAAAUGUGAAUAAAACUUUUUACCCCCUUAAGCCUUAGGAUUAAUGUGAAGUCUUAGGAUUAAUGUGUCAUUUGCCUUUUUUGGUAUAUGGACAGAAAAUAUGAAGUAGAAUUAGAUCUGUAUCUGUCAAUAACAGAAAGUGCUGUUAGUGUGUGUGUGUGUGUGUGUGUGUGUGUGUGUGUGUGUGUAUAUAUCUUAAUAUUUUGUCUAAUUUACCUGUAACUUAAUUAUUAUUCCCGUCUUAUUCAUUUCACAUAUGCCUUUGAACCUAUCACCUUGAUAAAAUAAAUUAUACUGCAUUUAUCGUCUUGCCACUGUAGGAACUAGCAGUAAGUCAGACACACAUCCUGAAGUUGAGGGGACACUGGAAACUUGUCCGAUUGUCUUCUAUCAGCAUGCCAACCCUGUUUCCAGGCAGAAGAGAGAAGAGAUUUUCCAGACUCCACAAACUCAAGGAGACAGUUUGUGCAGAAUAAAUAAUUAAAUGGAAUUUUGGAGAGGGAUUAAUCAAGAACAGCUUACCUUUGCCUCUGAGAAUAUGUUUACAUGUUUGUACAUAUGUCCUUGAAAGCAGUUUUCCUUUACAUGCCAUGUUUUUCCCAGAUAGAGGAACUGCAGUCGUAAUUUUUAAGCUACAGGGUUAAACUGAGGCAAUAUCUGUUACAUUUCACAAUUUUGCCCAGUUUUAUUGUGAUAAACAUAUAAGGACAUGUUAUACAGUAUAAACUCAGUCUUUUCAAUAGGGAAAAUCAUCUUUUAGACAAAUACUUUUGGAAUCAUAAAAUGUUAUAUUUCUCUAUACCACUUGUCGUGCUUUUAGUAUAAGUAUAGAAAUAUGAGCUGGCUUGCCAUUAUAUUUUGUUGCUCCACAGGAAUUUUUAAAAAAAUGUUCUAGUUUUAGGAAUUUAUGAUUAAUAAAUACAGUCAAGUUUGCAAUUUA